rnacentral:rRNA from 1 species
GACAGAGGUGCCGAGCGUUAGGCGGAAUCACUGGGCUUAAAGCGUGUGUAGGCGGCCCGUUAAGUGCCUCGUGAAAUCCCCCGGCUCAACCGGGGAACUGCCGGGCAUACUGGCGGGCUUGGGCCACUCAGGGGCAGACGGAACAGGCGGUGGAGCGGUGAAAUGCGUAGAUAUCGGGAGGAACACCAGUGGCGAAGGCGGCCUUCUGGCCUGCAACUGACGCUGUAGCUCGAAAGCGUGGGGAGCGAACCGG